rnacentral:rRNA from 1 species
UACGUAGGGUGCGAGCGUUAAUCGGAAUUACUGGGCGUAAAGCGUGCGCAGGCGGCUUUGCAAGACAGAUGUGAAAUCCCCGGGCUCAACCUGGGAACUGCAUUUGUGACUGCAAGGCUAGAGUACGGCAGAGGGGGAUGGAAUUCCGCGUGUAGCAGCGAAAUGCGUAGAUAUGCGGAGGAACACCAAAGGCGAAGGCAAUCCCCUGGGCCUGUACUGACGCUCAUGCACGAAAGCGUGGGGAGCAAACAGG